GACGAACGCUGGCGGCGUGCUUAACACAUGCAAGUCGAACGAAGAGCGAUGGAAGCUUGCUUCUAUCAAUCUUAGUGGCGAACGGGUGAGUAACGCGUAAUCAACCUGCCCUUCAGAGGGGGACAACAGUUGGAAACGACUGCUAAUACCGCAUACGAUCUGACCUCGGCAUCGAGGAUAGAUGAAAGGUGGCCUCUAUUUAUAAGCUAUCACUGAAGGAGGGGAUUGCGUCUGAUUAGCUAGUUGGAGGGGUAACGGCCCACCAGGGCGAUGAUCAGUAGCCGGUCUGAGAGGAUGAACGGCCACAUUGGGACUGAGACACGGCCCAGACUCCUACGGGAGGCAGCAGUGGGGAAUCUUCCGCAAUGGACGAAAGUCUGACGGAGCAACGCCGCGUGAGUGAUGACGGCCUUCGGGUUGUAAAGCUCUGUUAAUCGGGACGAAAGGCCUUCUUGCGAAUAGUUAGAAGGA
rnacentral:rRNA from 1 species